GAUGAACGCUGGCGGCGUGCUUAACACAUGCAAGUCGAACGAAGUGGCGGAUGGGCGCGUAACACGUGAGGAACCUGCCUUUCACCGGGGAAUAACACUGCGAAACCAGUGCUAAUACCGCAUAGUGAAAGAUGGCUUCGGUCAUGAUCAGCUAGUAGGUAAGGUAACGGCUCGCCUGGGUGAUGAUCAGUAGCAGGACUGACGGAGACACGGCCGAGUUGGGACUGGGAGACAGCAGAGGGGCAUACGGGAGGCAGGGGUGAAGAAUGUUGGGCAAUGCCGCGAGCCUGAAGCAGGAACGCGGCGUGAAGGAAAAUGGAAUUCGGAAUGAAAACUUCUAUGGACAGGGACGCGUUACCUGUAGAAUAAGCCACGGCUAACUACGUGCCAGCAGCCGCGGUAAUAC
rnacentral:rRNA from 1 species